UACGGAGGAGGCAAGCGUUGUCCGGAAUCAUUUGGGCGUAAAGAGCGUGUAGGCGGUUCGGUAAGUCGGCUGUGAAAGUCCAGGGCUCAACCCUGGGAUGCCGGUCGAUACUGCCGGACUAGAGUUCGGAAGAGGCGAGUGGAAUUCCCGGUGUAGCGGUGAAAUGCGCAGAUAUCGGGGAGGAACACCUAUGGCGAAGGCAGCUCGCUGGGACGUUACUGACGCUGGAGGAGCGAAAGCGUGGGGAGCGAACAGG
rnacentral:rRNA from 1 species